CAGACUGUACUGCCCCACUACUUCAUGUUCAGAAUCUCUCCUAUGGCAAUUGCUCUGCAGACCUUUAGCUUGUAGGAGGUUGUGAUAUGCCUAUGGGCUAUUUACAUAGACAUAAACUCAAUCUUCUCUUAUCUUAAUGCUUGCUAUUGCUUUUUAGCCUCCAGCAGUUUGCCUCAGGCCUCAGACCCAGCUCUUUGAAAAUAUGGAAAUUCUUUACAGCCACUGCAUCAGCCAGUUUUGCCUCAGAUAAACUUUGCAUCUGAGAAAUGAUGAAGAAGAAAAAAACCAUGAUGCUAUCCCUCCUGCAUACUAGACAGUGAUCUAGAGAGGAAGUGCAAUACUGUGGUCAAAUACAAGGAAUUGGAAGCCAAACUUUCAGGAUUCAAAUCAUGGCUAAGUUUCAAAUCAACAAAUUACUUGGGGGAUCUUAAGAAAACUAACUUAGCCUUGUUGUGCCUCCAUUUAUUCAUCUGUAAAAUGCAGACGAUGAAGAGGAUGGUGAUGAUGGUGAUGAUGAAAGUUGAAAUUUGGACAUAGAGACAGACACACACAAAGGGAAGAUGAUGUGAGGAGCCCCAGGGAGAAGAUGGCCACCUGAUUGAUGGGAUGUAUUCUCAAGCCAAGAAAAUUCAGCAAUUGCCAACACACACCAGAAGCUGCAGGAGGCAAGGAGGGACUGACUCCUCUGUCUGACCAUCAGAGACAGCAUGGCCUGAUGACACCUUGAUUUUGUACUGAUAGCCUGCAAAAAUGC